GUGCUAUCUGCCUGGUGGAGCCCCCUCAUGCAAUAACAGAUCUUGUAACUGAUGAAGAGGACGAGGGAACUGUGUCUGCUGCCUUUACAGACGGGGAUCCAGAAAGGCCUAUAGAGAGCAUGGCUGGGCAGCAGCAGGAGGGUCCCUCAACUUCCACUGCACAGAUUGACACAGUUGAAAAAACACACUGCUGAAAAAAAAAUAAAGAAAACCGAUAAAGAAAUGUUAUACUUGGACCGCCAGAUUAGGAAGGCAGAUUUGGAAAUUGAAAUACU